GAUGAACGCUAGCGGCAGGCUUAAUACAUGCCAGUCGAGGGGGCAGCAAUGUCACCGGCGAACGGGUGCGUAACGCGUAUGCAACCUACCUACAUCAGGGGGAUAGCCCUAGGAACCUGGGAUUAACACCGCAUAACAUAUGACCAGGCACCUUGUUAUAUUGAAAUAUUUAUAGGAUGUAGAUGGGCAUGCGUAGGAUUAGCUAGUUGGUAAGGUAACGGCUUACCAAGGCUACGAUCCUUAGGGGCUCUGAGAGGAGUAUCCCCCACACUGGCACUGAGAUACGGGCCAGACUCCUACGGGAGGCAGCAGUAGGGAAUAUUGGGCAAUGGAGGCAACUCUGACCAGCCAUGCCGCGUGCAGGAAGACGGUCCUCUGGAUUGUAAACUGCUUUUGAAUGGGAAGAAUGUGUGGCUUGCGAGCUAUAAUGACGGUACCAUUAGAAUAAGCCACGGCUAACUACGUGCCAGCAGCCGCGGUAA
rnacentral:rRNA from 1 species